GGAAUUUUGCGCAAUGGGGGCAACCCUGACGCAGCAACGCCGCGUGAUUGAAUAAGCCCUUCGGGGUGUAAAGAUCUGUCAGUAGGGACGAAACUUGACGGUACCUACAGAGGAAGCAUCGGCUAACUCCGUGCCAGCAGCCGCGGUAAUACGGGGGAUGCGAGCGUUGUCCGGAAUCAUUGGGCGUAAAGAGUUCGUAGGUGGUUUGUUAAGUUUGGUGUUAAAUGCAGAGGCUCAACUUCUGUUCGGCAUCGGAUACUGGCAGACUUGAAUGCGGUAGAGGUAAAGGGAAUUCCUGGUGUAGCGGUGAAAUGCGUAGAUAUCAGGAGGAACAUCGGUGGCGUAAGCGCUUUACUGGGCCGUAAUUGACACUGAGGAACGAAAGCCGGGGUAGCAAAUG
rnacentral:rRNA from 1 species